GUUCUGGGCUGUUUUUAUUACACACCUCUUGAGCAGAUGGCACUUGAACUUGCACCUUCAAGGUCAGAGUUUCUUGUUCCUUCUAGACUAGGUGUUCCUGGUAAAUGCUUUUCUCGAGUAGCUGUAAUGAAAAGACACAAGGGUGCGAAUGUGGGACAAAAAAAGGACCAUUAAAACAUGCAUCCCAAGGAGCACCUGACUUGUCUUGUGGAUUCAACUGCAAUUGGACCCUUAAAAAUCCCAAGUGAUAAUUGGAAUUUAAUGAACAUUUCCAUGAGCAGUGAACAGAAACUCAUUGAUAAUGGCUUCCUUGGAGGUGAGAAUAGCUCUUUCUUAUCUCACCAAACCUGGGAGAAUGGAAGCCAGUCAAGUUAUUAACUGACACUGUUAAAGUUAAUUACCUUGGCUAAGAACCAAUGGAUGGGAUUAUGUUCCAGGCCUUGGCUAACACAAUACCUAAUAUGGAAGCAUGACUUGACAAUUUGGGAAAGCAGCCAUCUGAUUUUUGAACAGUAUAAAAUGUCAAUCCGAGUACAACGAUUUAUGCUGAGUUCUCAGGAGAACUUGUGAAGACAGUUCCAGCCGCUGCUCUCACAGAACCAACUAUGAACAGCAUGUGAGAAAAGAGUUUUCUCUCUCACCCACAAGGCUCAGAGGAAAGUGUCCAGAUAUAUUGCUUCCUUUACUAAAAAUGAAUCCAAGCAGUUUAAGUGUUGUGCCAGCAAAAUCAGUAAAGAGAAAAGGACCUGAAAUCUCUCUGCAUACCAAGCCUGGUUAAUUUACCAGGAAGUCUUCACAACUGCUAAACACGUCUCUUCAACUCUGCACUCCAGGCAGCCAACACUUCAACAGUCAGCUUUUUGUCUGCAACAAGACUCUGAAGAACUGAACUGAGUUUCAUCUUUCUAAGUAUCUUUUAAACUUGACUGUAUUUUAUCCUUGAUGUCCAUAUUUAGCUACUAAUUUUAAUCUUUUCACUCAGCGAUUUGUAAUAAAAUCAUCUUUAUCAUAGUUAAGACAAAAACUUCACUUGUUUUUAAGUUGAAUCUCUCAUAAGCUAAAAGGGACCCAGGCAAACACAAA